UACGUAGGGUGCAAACGUUGCUCGGAAUCAUUGGGCGUAAAGCGCACGUAGGCGGUUGUGAAAGUUGGGUGUGAAAGCCCUGGGCUCAACCCAGGAAGUGCACUCAAAACUUCACGACUUGAGUUCCGGAGGGGCCCAGAGAAUUCCCGGUGUAGAGGUGAAAUUCGUAGAUAUCGGGAGGAAUACCAGUGGCGAAGGCGCUGGGCUGGACGGACACUGACGCUGAGGUGCGAAAGCGUGGGGAGCAAAC
rnacentral:rRNA from 1 species